CCACAGGUGUCACAUGCCAUUCUUCUGAUUUUCAUGAAUAUCCUCUAAAAGGCAGCUAAGCACUCGCUGUCUUCUUCCUUUUGCCUCAUCAAGCACGGGGGACGCUGGAAGGAAGAGGCUCCAGGGACCUACCUGACUUCCUAUUCAUGCUGAUCCCACUGAGACCCUUAUCAACCCUGACCUGUUCCCCAUGUGCCUCUUGGAUCUGCCUUAUGUUCCAGAUCCAGCAGAUAAGCCAGUACUUAAUGCCAAUAAUUGCUCCAACUGGGGUGGAAAAUGGAUAUUUAUACUUCAAAUUUGUGGAUAUCAGUUUUCCAGAAGGGGAAAACAGGAUUGGCUCCUACUUCAGAAAAUGAUCUAGGGGUGAAGAGGUCCUUACUGGCCUUUUCCCCACUGAGUCCCAGCUGGUCUCCUGACAGGGGAUUUUGGGGACCGAUUCACCAAUGUGUGACAGUAUCCAUGCAUAAAGAUGUGAACUGUCUUCUCCCCAAACUUUUAAUCUAUGUAAAUGCAACGCUACAUUCCAAUGUAUUUCUAAGACAGUUUUGCUCUAUGCCAAUCAGCAGAUGAGCCGGGGCUCAUUUUUUGUGGGGUCUGGCUCUUACCUGUUUCCUCUGAAAUCCUAUAAGAUUUUAUUUUUUCUUCUCUUGGACAUAUCACGUAUUUCCUUGAUUUCUACUUAUCGCAGUAACUGUCUUUUCAUUCACAUUAAGGUAACUUUAUAUUGUGGAGUCAGACAGUUCUCUGUCUGCUACUUACCAACUGUCAGAUCUUGUUUGAGCAAACGAAUUAUAUUCUUUGAGCCUCAGUUUCUUUAUCUAUCAAACGGGGAUAAUUAUUUCCAAGCUCAAAAUGCUGUUGUAAGUAUGAAUUAGAAUAAUGAAUAUAAAAUAUGGUACAUGCUAGUCAUUCAUAAGUUUUUCCUUAAAAGUAGACUGUUUCGUAUUUAUAUUUAUAUCUCCCACAGUGCCUCAAUCAUAGUAGAUGCUCAAUAAAU
rnacentral:lncRNA from 1 species